rnacentral:rRNA from 1 species
AAUGAACGCUGGCGGCAGGCCUAACACAUGCAAGUCGAACGGAUCCUUCGGGAUUAGUGGCGGACGGGUGAGUAACGCGUGGGAACAUACCCUUUGGUACGGAAUAGCCUCGGGAAACUGGGAGUAAUACCGUAUGUGGUCGAGAGACGAAAGAUUUAUCGCCAAAGGAUUGGCCCGCGUUGGAUUAGGUAGUCGGUGGGGUAAUGGCCUACCAAGCCGACGAUCCAUAGCUGGUUUGAGAGGAUGAUCAGCCACACUGGGACUGAGACACGGCCCAGACUCCUACGNNNNNCAGCAGUGGNGANNCUUAGACANUGGGGGAAACCCUGAUCUAGCCAUGCCGNGUGNUCGAUGAAGGCCUUNGGGUUGUANAGNUCUUUCAGGNNGGANGAUAAUGACNGUNCCACCAGAAGAAGCCCCGGCUAACUCNGUGCCAGCCGCCGCGGUAAUA